UUGACGGGGGCCCGCACAAGCGGAGGAACAUGUGGUUUAAUUCGAUGAUACGCGAGGAACCUUACCUGGGCUAGAACGCAUUCGGAAUCAGGCCGAAAGGCCUGCGCCAGCGAUGGCCGCUUGCGAGGUGCUGCAUGGUUGUCGUCAGCUCGUGCCGUGAGGUGUCGGGUUAAGUCCCAUAACGAGCGCAACCCCUACUGCUAGUUGCCAGCGGGUCAUGCCGGGGACUCUAGCGGAACUGCCAGCGUAAGCUGCGAGGAAGGUGGGGAUGACGUCAAAUCAGCACGGCCCUUACGUCCAGGGCGACACACGUGCUACAAUGGCCGGCACAGCGGGAAGCGGAGGGGCGACCCUGAGCGGAUCCCUUGAAAGCCGGUCCCAGUUCGGAUUGCAGUCUGCAACUCGACUGCAUGAAGUUGGAAUCGCUAGUAAUCGCGGAUCGGCCAAGCCGCGGUGAAUACGUUCCCGGGCCUU
rnacentral:rRNA from 1 species